rnacentral:rRNA from 1 species
UACGUAGGUGGCAAGCGUUGUCCGGAUUUACUGGGCGUAAAGAGCGCGCAGGCGGUCGUUCAAGUCGCGUGUGAAAGCCCCCGGCUCAACUGGGGAGGGUCACGCGAUACUGAUCGACUCGAAGGCAGGAGAGGGAAGUGGAAUUCCCGGUGUAGUGGUGAAAUGCGUAGAUAUCGGAAGGAACACCGGUGGCGAAAGCGGCGCGCUGGACCUCUUCUGACGCUGAGGCGCGAAAGCCAGGGGAGCGAACGGG